CAACAACGCGCUGGAGCGCGUGCCCAGUGGCCUGCCUCGCCGCGUACGCACCCUCAUGAUCCUGCACAACCAGAUCACAGGCAUUGGCCGCGAAGACUUCGCCACCACCUACUUCCUGGAGGAGCUCAACCUCAGCUACAACCGCAUCACCAGCCCGCAGGUGCACCGCGACGCCUUCCGCAAGCUGCGCCUGCUGCGCUCGCUGGACCUGUCGGGCAACCGGCUGCACACGCUGCCACCUGGGCUGCCUCGAAAUGUCCAUGUGCUGAAGGUCAAGCGCAAUGAGCUGGCUGCCCUGGCACGAGGGGCGCUGGUGGGCAUGGCUCAGCUGCGUGAGCUGUACCUCACCAGCAACCGACUACGCAGCCGGGCCCUGGGCCCCCGUGCCUGGGUGGACCUCGCCCAUCUGCAGGUGGGAGUCCCUGACUCCCUUGGUCGCCCCUGCAGCUGUUGGACAUCGCCGGAAAUCAGCUCACAGAGAUCCCCGAGGGGCUCCCCGAGUCACUUGAGUACUUGUACCUGCAGAACAACAAGAUUAGUGCGGUGCCCGCCAAUGCCUUUGACUCCACGCCCAACCUCAAGGGGAUCUUUCUCAGGUUUAACAAGCUGGCUGUGGGCUCCGUGGUGGACAGUGCCUUCCGGAAGCUGAAGCACCUGCAGGUCUUGGACAUUGAAGGCAACCUUGAGUUUGGUGAUGUUUCCAAGGACCG
rnacentral:sRNA from 1 species